GACAUGGUAUUGGCAUGGAGGUCAAGACAUAUUCAACGAUGAGAUGAAGAGUUAUGUGGCAGAACAAGACAACAAAAAACAAGUCUCAUAGUCACAUAGGUAGUUGACAAAACAAGAAAUGGAGAAACUGGAAACUUAUGGUUUUCUGUUGCUUUGGAAACUCUUUAGGCCAGGCUGACACCAACCCAUUUGGAGAUGAAUGCCACUUAACAGAACCGUGCCCCUCCCCCUUGGCUUCUCAUAUUACUGUUGGUGUUAGUUCUACCAUUUUAUAAGAUUUAUAAUUAUAAAUUUAUAAUAAAAGUUUUUCUCAAGUA